CAGCUUUGUCUUGAGGUUUGGAGAAUGAACACUUCUAUGACUACCUGUCAUAGCUCACUAGGAAACCCUAUCGAACCAUGGAAGGGUUAUUGGUUAAAUACAUUGUAUAAAGGAACAUUUUGCUAGUUGCUGUUGACCAAAAAGGCUGUUUUUUUUUUAAAUAUAGUCUGUAAUUAUUUUUGUUGAAAGAUAUUUGGAAGAUGGUUUUUCUCAAUCUAUAGGAGAUACAGUUUGUAGCCACCUGGGAUCUCUUAUAAAAAGAUACUUUUUCAUAGUAUACUUUUUAUAACAUACAUAAAAUUUCAUAAUAUACUUUUGAUAAUAUAUAUAAAAUUUGAUACAAAAGUUUAUCAAAUUUAUUGAAUUUACUUUAGUGCAUUUUUAUUAGUCAAGAUUCUUUGGAAGACAUGGAAAACUAAUUCAAAAAAUCUUGAGCAAAAAAAAGUUUGUUGGCUCGUAACUAAUAUUCAGGACUGGUCUCCAGAACUUGGUUGCCAGGUGUGUGUUUCCAGGUUAUCUGUUAGCUUGUCUGUGUCUCUGUGAUAGUUUUACUGUUUUAGAGUGGAAAGUCUUUCUCCAUGGGGUGCUCUGACUUGCAGAAGAAUGCCUUUGGUCUAGUGCCAGCAUAUAUAAAAUCCUGUGGGUGGGAUAGAGUAGGUGUAGUUGUGUGCUGACUGGCAGUCUCACAAAACCACAUGGAAUAGGGAAGGAACAGUUUCCCAAAGGAAGGGUUUGCUCUUACUUCAGAGGAAGGGAUGCUGGGAGUCAAAAACAAUAGAUGUUCGUUAUAGCAAUGAGAGUGAUAAAGAAGAGAAGACAGAAAGGCAUAAAGUAUUCUUUAAGGGAAUAGAACAUGACUUAAUUUGAUUUUCCUAAUCAUUGAUUCUUACAGAGCAUGCAAGCAGCGAGAUGUCCUACAGAUGAAUUAUCUUUAACCAAUUGUGCAGUUGUGAAUGAAAAGGAUUUCCAGUCUGGCCAGCAUGUGAUUGUGAGGACCUCUCCCAAUCACAGGUACACAUUUACAUUGAAGACACAUCCGUCAGUGGUUCCAGGGAGCAUUGCAUUCAGUUUACCUCAGAGAAAAUGGGCUGGGCUUUCUAUUGGGCAAGAAAUAGAAGGUAGGUAUAUUUUUUAGCCACCUGAUAAGGAUUUUUUAUGUGAUUUUCUCACAGAUAUUGAGAGCUGUACAAUUUUCUAUUACUAGUGGUCAGACCUUAAGCAUUCAUUGUAUCAGAAUACUGGUUAGAUCUAUGAGAGUGGAAGUAAAUAGUUA